rnacentral:rRNA from 1 species
GUAGCGNUGAAAUGCUUAGAUAUCACGAAGAACUCCGAUUGCGAAGGCAGCUUGCUGGACUGUAACUGACGCUGAGGCACGAAAGCGUGGGGAUCAAACAGGAUNAGAUACCCUGGUANNCCACGCCGUAAACGAUGAAUGCUAGCUGUUAGCGAUAUACUGUUAGCGGCACAGAGAAAUCGUUAAGCAUUCCACCUGGGGAGUACGCCGGCAACGGUGAAACUCAAAGGAAUUGACGGGGGCCCGCACAAGCGGAGGAACAUGUGGUUUAAUUCGAUGAUACGCGAGGAACCUUACCUGGGCUUAAAUUGCAGUGGAAUAACGUGGAAACAUGUUAGCCUUCGGGCCGCUGUGAAGGUGCUGCAUGGUUGUCGUCAGCUCGUGCCGUGAGGUGUCGGCUUAAGUGCCAUAACGAGCGCAACCCUCAUCGAUAGUUACUAACAGGUUAAGCUGAGGACUCUAUCGAGACUGCCGACGUAAGUCGUGAGGAAGGUGGGGAUGACGUCAAAUCAGCACGGCCCUUACGUCCAGGGCUACACACGUGUUACAAUGGGGGGUACAAAGGGCAGCUACCUGGCGACAGGAUGCUAAUCUCUAAAACCUCUCUCAGUUCGGAUUGGAGUCUGCAACCCGACUCCAUGAAGCUGGAUUCGCUAGUAAUCGCGCAUCAGCCACGGCGCGGUGAAUACGUUCCCGGGCCUUGUACACACCGCCCGUCAAGCCAUGGGAGCCGGGGGGACCUGAAGUAUGCAACCGUAAGGAGCGUCCUAGGGUAAAACUGGUGACUGGGGCU